rnacentral:rRNA from 1 species
UACGGAAGGCAGCAGUGGGGAAUAUUGCACAAUGGGCGAAAGCCUGAUGCAGCUAUGCCGCGUGUAUGAAGAAGGCCUUAGGGUUGUAAAGUACUUUCAUCGGGGAGGAAAAAACAAAACUAAUAAUUUUAUUUCUUGACGUUACCCGAAAAAGAAGCACCGGCUAACUCCGUGCCAGCAGCCGCGGUAAUACGGAGGGUGCUAGCGUUAAUCAGAAUUACUGGGCGUAAAGAGCACGUAGGUGGUUUUUUUAAAGUCAGAUGUGGAAUCCCUGGGCUUAACCUAGGAACUGCAUUUUGAAACUGAAAUACUAGAGUAUCGUAGAGGGAGGUAGAAUUCUAGGUGUAGCGGUGAAAUGCGUAGAUAUCUGGAGGAAUACCUGUGGCGAAAGCGGCCUCCUAAACGAAUACUGACACUGAGGUGCGAAAGCGUGGGGAGCAAACAGGGAUUAGAUACC